UACGUAGGUGGCAAGCGUUAUCCGGAAUUAUUGGGCGUAAAGCGCGCGUAGGCGGUUUUUUAAGUCUGAUGUGAAAGCCCACGGCUCAACCGUGGAGGGUCAUUGGAAACUGGAAAACUUGAGUGCAGAAGAGGAAAGUGGAAUUCCAUGUGUAGCGGUGAAAUGCGCAGAGAUAUGGAGGAACACCAGUGGCGAAGGCGACUUUCUGUGUCUGUAACUGACGCUGAUGUGCGAAAGCGUGGGGAUCAAACAGGAUUAGAUACCCUGGUAGUNCAGGGCG
rnacentral:rRNA from 1 species